UACGUAGGCAGCAAGCGUUGUUCGGAAUUACUGGGCGUAAAGGGCGCGUAGGUGGCCUUCUAAGUUGAACGUGAAAUCCCUGGGCUCAACCCAGGAACUGCGUCCAAGACUGGGAGGCUUGAAUCCGGGAGAGGGAUGCGGAAUUCCAGGUGUAGCGGUGAAAUGCGUAGAUAUCUGGAGGAACACCGGUGGCGAAGGCGGCAUCCUGGACCGGUAUUGACACUGAGGCGCGAAAGCCAGGGGAGCAAACGGG
rnacentral:rRNA from 1 species